AUGCACGCUGGCGGCGUGCCUAAUACAUGCCAGUCGAGCGAACAGACGAGGAGCUUGCUCCUCUGACGUUAGCGGCGGACGGGUGAGUAACACGUGGAUAACCUACCUAUAAGACUGGGAUAACUUCGGGAAACCGGAGCUAAUACCGGAUAAUAUAUUGAACCGCCUGGUUCAAUAGUGAAAGACGGUUUUGCUGUCACUUAUAGAUGGAUCCGCGCCGCAUUAGCUAGUUGGUAAGGUAACGGCUUACCAAGGCAACGAUGCGUAGCCGACCUGAGAGGGUGAUCGGCCACACUGGAACUGAGACACGGUCCAGACUCCUACGGGAGGCAGCAGUAGGGAAUCUUCCGCAAUGGGCGAAAGCCUGACGGAGCAACGCCGCGUGAGUGAUGAAGGUCUUCGGAUCGUAAAACUCUGUUAUUAGGGAAGAACAAAUGUGUAAGUAACUAUGCACGUCUUGACGGUACCUAAUCAGAAAGCCACGGCUAACUACGUG
rnacentral:rRNA from 1 species